GGAAAAAAAAAGCACACACUAUUUGCAUUUUUCUUCUUCAUUUUUGCUCAAACCACCAUGAGCAAAAAUAUGUAUGUACACUGUAUUUGCAAGGAAUUCAAUUCCAUAUUUUAGUUAUCCAACCUCCACGCACUACGACUGCCUCCUGUCCUUUUUCACUGCCCUAUCCGCCGAGGGGCGUCUCUCGCUUCAUACUUGCUUUAAAAGGUAUCUCCAUUUCCAUUGGACUCCGACAUCGACUUUGGGGACGGGAACAGGGACGAAGAGGAUCGCGAUAUCAUCGGACUUCGACAUACACUCUGGGGAUGAGGACGAAGACGACGAAGAAGAAGGAUCCGUUGCGGAAGCCGGCGUGGCGAAAGAGGACCUGAAGCUCGAGAUCAAUGACCACAAGGCCUAGGUCGAUUUCUUAACCCUUUCCUUUCCAUUAACGGUUCUUUGUAAUGGGAAAAUUAUUGGUGAACCCAUUUUCCAGUGGCUGCUCCUCUCUAAAUGGGAAUUAUCGUUUCUUGGUUUCAGCAAAUGGGCGUAAGUGACCUUCUGGCUUUUGACCUCUGUCUUUACAGAAGGUGAGGCUCAGGGGCACCCCAUUAACAGUGGCAACAGCAAAGAAAGAGAGAGCAACCAUCGCUUUGUUCCUAAACCUGAUGAAGCCACCGGGCCAUUCCCAGAAGCUGUGCUUCUUAGAGAGGUAUUUUUCUUCUUCUAAUACCUUGACCACUACUUUGUUGGAGGUAUUUACCAUUUUAUCUUCAGAAGUACUUCAAUUACAGGUCUGACUGUGAAAUUUUGAGAGAGGGUGCAAUAUAUAUUUCAAAAUUAGUUCAAUUUCAAGCCACAAAGAUUUACUAUAGAAAUCAUUUUGCAUACUUUGGUGGCAAAAUCUUUUUGUUUUAGCUAUAGUAGUUUUAGUUCAUUGAGCCAAGACGCGGAUAAACAUCAUAAACUGUAAAGUAGAAGCAUGGAGGAGUACUUUGGAAUUUAUAGGUUUUUUGGUUAAGUAGAACUAAAUAGAUUAAUUGAAAUGUCCAUUUCGUUAAGAAGGAAUAAGGAUAAUAGCAACUUGAUUAAUUUACAUACCAACCUCACAUAAUGAAAUGGAGCAAUGCUACAAGAGUUCUAUAUUUUGUGAAAUAUGUACUCCUUUAAAAGGCAAUUGCCAACGCUUGUUAGAUCAACUAUACUUGUUCAUAAUAAAUUUUGUCCAUGAUAAGGGCAGUUGUUCUUAAGGCGAAUACAAAUUUUAAGAUGGAUGUAUGGCCAUAGAAGAAUGGAUAAAAUCAGAAAUGAAUACCCACGACAAGUCGAGGUGACUCCAUUGAAGAUAAAAAAGAAAAAAUGACGACUUGAAUUGUUAGAUAUGUAUCGUGUAAAUUCGGAGAAGUUCUUUUUCACAAGAAUCAAUGAGGUCCCAAAAGAAAACUUGUUAGAAGAGGGGGAUGUACAUCAAAAUUAAUAUUUUAUGAUAAUGUGAUUAAAAUAUAUAGUUUUAUUGGACCAUUCAAUAAUAAAGGAAGACUCGUGUGGUCAACCCCAAGUUACUAGGACUUUUUCAGAACUUAUCCAAAAAGAGGUGUUUCUGGUAUGCAUUUUACUGUUGAAUAUGAGAAUUAUAGGAACAGAAGAAGCUCUAACAUUUUGGAAUUAUUUCAGCCCCGAAUCUUUGACUCCAAUGUUCAAAAGAUUUUACGUGAAUGUAGAUUUGGGUUUUUAUUUCCGAGAAAAUACAGGUAUGUCGGAAACAUUCACACCUAGGUGACUAAACCGCUGCACGAAGUUUUUGCAACUACUGGUCUUGUUCAAAGCUUUCAGCUUGUUAGAAAGGAAAAGGUAUAGUCUCUGUAGUCCUUUUUUUUUGCCAUAGAGGCUAAUAUUAAUGGGAUGCGAUAAUUAUGUUAGUUUUGGGCUGUGAAAAUUUUGAUUGUCUCCUUAUAUACUAGCAAUUAUUGUUCUUGGAAAAUGGAAAACUUGGAAGUUAUUUUGCUGUACUUGAUUUGGUCAUUGAGGAUCUGAUUUUUAUACCUUAAAGGAGUGAUUCUUAUAUUUCAAGUGAUCCUAUUCUAUGGUUGAUUAAUUUCUCAUUCCUAUUGGAUUAAAAGAAUGAAGUUGUUAUAGUCUCUUAAUGUUUAAUGGAAUAUGUUGCAUUUUGUUCUAUAUAGAUAUAAAGUGUCUCUCUCUUUUUUUUUUUUUUUUUUUUUAAGUCAUAUGAAAGGUUCAUGUAGGAGAACAAAAUAUGGGCUCGUGGAAGGAUGAAUCAAGCAAGAUUUGCCAUAAUUGGUCAUGUUGUUUAAAUGGUCAGUCGAGACUGAAGUUAUGGCUCAUGAUUAUCAUGCUUUAGAUUGUUUGUACCCUGAUGUACAUGUAUCUCCUUUCUUACCAGCUCUGAGGAACUUCUAUCAUAAUGCACUAAAUUCAACGUGAGUGAACUCAACUUGUAAACCAUCGUAGAUGGUUUGGGUGUUGUUUUAUACCAAUAUUCAUUUAAUGGUGAACAACUUGUUUCCCUCUAUUCAUCAACACCAUCAAUAUUAUUGCCUAUGUUAUGCUGUAUUUUCUUUUAAAAGCUAUAGCAGUCUUAUUCCUUUUAUGAUCCUAUCGUUCAAUGUAAAUCAGCUGCUCUUUUGUUUAGAGCCUGUGUGACAACCAUUAUUGUAGAAAAAAGAUUUUUGAAUAGUGAUUUUUAGGAGAAUGUGUGGUCAAAAAGUAGGGAAAAAUUUUUAUCAUAAAAGGAAAAUAUUUUAUUGUGUGAAUGUGUAGUUGAAAAUGGUUAUGUAGCAAACCAUAAAAUAAAUUAAUGUGUGUCAAAUGGGCUCUUAAUAUUAUUUAUCUGCUAUCUAUUGAGCAACCUUCUAUAAUAGUAAAAGUUUUCGGUGUAAGGUAUUAUAUGCAUUAGAUGAAUUGCGUGCUUAUAAACAUAAAAUUUUCAUCAAAAUGUUCAAUGUCAUUUUAACUACGCCUAAUUUUUUUUGGAAUACUUGCUACUUCAAUCCUCAGUGAUGAUCAUUCUCAUUUUUAGUGAUUAAUAUCUAAAUUGUAAUUAUAGAUACUUCAAUAUUUAUAAAUAUUUGUCAUUUUCUCAUAUUAAAAUGUCUUCUAUCUCAAUCUUGUUCAAAAAUGGUUGUAGUCAUUAAUCAGACUCCUACUAAACUAGCUAUAUCCUCCCGAGCCAAGUGGAGUAUGAUUGAAGUAGUCAGAUCCUUUUUCUAUUCUUUUCCCUCGUGCGGCUGGACCAUCCUGUAUAUUACAGAGAUCAACAAAGGGAACCAGUUUAAUAGUAAGUUCAUUUUUGUUACUUUUCCAUAUCUCCUGAGUAAUCUCUAUGCUACUGAAUUUUUGAAAAUUUCCCUACAGUGUGAACCUUACAAGAUUUAAUUUUAUUUGUACAAGUUCAUUCUUGUUUUUCAUUUCUCCUGAGUAAUCUCUAUGCCGCUGAUUUUUUGAAAAUUUUUGUACAGUGUAAACCUUACUGGAUUUAAGCUUAGUUCAACAAUGAAAUGUUCAAUUUUAUAAGUUUCAUUUGUUUCCAAAAUGUGUAAUGAGAGAUCUUUGUUCUUUGUGGUUUCCAUUUAUUUUGCCUUAGGUUCUCAUGAGUUCUCGCUAUGCCCCUGUUUGGGCUCCAUUAAAAUUAAAUUUUGGGGAAAAUUGUGUUUUGAAAUAGUAUUUUUUGGAGAAUGUGUGGUUUAAUAUUAAGGAAAAGUUUUGGGUUUGCGUAUAAUAUUAGUUUAUUGGAAAAUGUAUGGUCAAAAAUAAGAAAGAAAAAAUGUAUUUUUACAAAAAUGGAGCCUAAAUAUGGCUAUGUUUAGAACAUUUUUACCAUAUUUUAAUUUCCUUCUUUGUUAUGUGUUCUUAUUUUGAAACGUAAGCAGACCUUUCACAGAUUUUCAGUCAACUAUUAUGCUUGUGUUUUUGCAACUCCUCAUUCAUCAUGUGUUUUCUUAUGUUUUCCGCUGAAGCUAUUUUUAUAUUUUAUGGAUAUGUUCUUUCCCUUCUUAUUACAAGUUUCAUAAUCAUUCUAUACUGGUUGGUGGAGUAGCACUAGCAUGUCCUUUGUCGUUCGAAUUUUCCCUUCUCUAUUACCUUUUCUUUUGCUUCUUUCCUCUUUCAUCAUUUUUAUCUUUGGUUCUAUGACAGCAACAUUCUCAGCCAAACAGGUUUCAGCAUGAUCAGAACGUAUAGCAUAUAGCACGCAGGGCAUUAGAUGAGAAGGUUAAAGAGAUGAAAGACCAGGUAGUGAGGGCCAAAGCAUACUUGAAUUUUUUACCACCAAACAGCAGCUUUCAUUUUGUAAAAGGUUUGAAGCUAAGAAUUAAAAGAGGGUGAACGAGCUAUGGAUCAAAUCACCAAAUCUUAUUCUCUGUCUAGGAGGUAGAACCCUAUUUAUUUCUCUGUCUAUUAUCCUUUUUCUUCUGAUAAAUCCUCCUAAUAUUCUUCAUUUUCCUUAUUUUAAUUGAAAGAGAACUUUGAAUAGAGCCCUUUAACUAAUGAAUGGUGAUUAAUAUUUUUUAAAGUGGGCAUCAAUAGCAGUUCUAGAUUGCGUUUAACAAUGCAAUUCUUUUUUUUCCCCCAAUUUCAAAAGCGAUUUUUUCUGCAGGCAGUUAAGUUUCUAAAUAUGAUUAGAUUGCAUGGGAAGGUUAUACGAUGAAUAAGGUAUGUAAUUACAUGUCAUUUUGUACUUCAGUUUGUCACCAUUUUGUAUGUUUUUGCAUAUCCUAGUAUCUUUAUUGUUAUUGUAAGAAUCACUGCAACAUUGUAACUAAAAUAUGAUUAAUUUGUUUAAUCAACUUGUUUUGCUUUUCAAGCAUCUAAAGAUGAGAAGUGUUGAUAUGGGAGCUAACCUGUACAUCGGAAACGUUCACCCUGUAAGAAAUUUUGGGAUGCUUGAAUUUACUUUAGCACUCCUUGUUUUCUUUUCAUUACGUAGUUAGUUUAGAUAUUAUAUAAAACAGUAACACAGCACACACACUUCUCUUGCAUAAUUGAUUUACCAGCAAAUUGAAGCCAACAUUUGAACUUAAGAGUUUAUUUGAUUUUGAUAGUUAAUUGACAACAUUUGUGUAUUUUGUAGGUUGAGUUACUCAUGUACAAUUAAAAAUUGCCAAUUGAAGCCACUUCAUAAUAUUUGGAAGGUAAGUAUAUGGUAUCUUCAAUUCCUAGAGUUUAUAAUGUUCAUUUUCCGAUAUUGAACCUAAAGCUGAUAGUUUAUAUGGUAAAAAAAACUUCACAGAGUGCUAGAUUCUUUUUGCCUGUAAUGGCCUUUGUGUAUAUGCACGUGCCAGAUGUAUUGUGAUUAGUUAUUUGUGUGCAUAUAAUUUUAUGUUUCAACAAUGAAUGCAUAUCUGCAUCUGCCAAAAAAAUCAUAGGGUAAAUGAGUUAGUAUGCAAUUGAAGUUUUGGUGGUGGUUUGCUGGUUGCAGAUAUGGUGAUGGUGAGCCUACUGACAAUGCAGCAAGGUUCUACAAAUGGUUUAGAGGAAAAGGAUAGAGGAGAUUGGCUUAAGAAUCUUCAGUAUAAAGUUUUCAGCCUCGAAAACUGGCAAUAUGANC
rnacentral:lncRNA from 1 species